GCCGGGUUCCCGGGAUUAUUGGGCGUAAGAGCUCGUAGGCGGUUUGUCGCGUCUGCCGUGAAAGUCCGGGGCUCAACUCCGGAUCUGCGGUGGGUACGGGCAGACUAGAGUGAUGUAGGGGAGACUGGAAUUCCUGGUGUAGCGGUGAAAUGCGCAGAUAUCAGGAGGAACACCGAUGGCGAAGGCAGGUCUCUGGGCAUUAACUGACGCUGAGGAGCGAAAGCAUGGGGAGCGAACAGGAUUAGAUACCCUGGUAGUCCAUGCCGUAAACGUUGGGCACUAGGUGUGGGGGACAUUCCACGUUUUCCGCGCCGUAGCUAACGCAUUAAGUGCCCCGCCUGGGGAGUACGGCCGCAAGGCUAAAACUCAAAGGAAUUGACGGGGGCCCGCACAAGCGGCGGAGCAUGCGGAUUAAUUCGAUGCAACGCGAAGAACCUUACCAAGGCUUGACAUGAACCGGUAAGACCUGGAAACAGGUCCCCCACUUGUGGCCGGUUUACAGGUGGUGCAUGGUUGUCGUCAGCUCGUGUCGUGAGAUGUUGGGUUAAGUCCCGCAACGAGCGCAACCCUCGUUCCAUGUUGCCAGCGCGUUAUGGCGGGGACUCAUGGGAGACUGCCGGGGUCAACUCGGAGGAAGGUGGGGACGACGUCAAAUCAUCAUGCCCCUUAUGUCUUGGGCUUCACGCAUGCUACAAUGGCCGGUACAAAGGGUUGCGAUACUGUGAGGUGGAGCUAAUCCCAAAAAGCCGGUCUCAGUUCGGAUUGGGGUCUGCAACUCGACCCCAUGAAGUCGGAGUCGCUAGUAAUCGCAGAUCAGCAACGCUGCGGUGAAUACGUUCCCGGGCCUUGUACACACCGCCCGUCAAGUCACGAAAGUUGGUAACACCCGAAGCCGGUGGCCUAACCCCUUGUGGGAGGGAGCUGUCGAAGUGGGACUGGCGAUUGGGACUAAGUCGUAACAAGGUAACC
rnacentral:rRNA from 1 species